rnacentral:rRNA from 1 species
UACGGGGGGGGCAAGCGGUUGUUCGGAAUUACUGGGCGUAAAGGGUUCGUAGGUGGCCAACUAAGUCAGACGUGAAAUCCCUCAGCUUAACUGGGGAACUGCGUCUGAUACUGGUUGGCUUGAGUGCAGGAGAGGAACGCGGAAUUCCAGGUGUAGCGGUGAAAUGCGUAGAUAUCUGGAGGAACACCGGUGGCGAAGGCGGCGUUCUGGACUGCAACUGACACUGAGGAACGAAAGCCAGGGGAGCAAACGGG